UACGGGGGGGGGCAAGCGUUGUUCGGAAUUACUGGGCGUAAAGGGCUCGUAGGCGGCCAACUAAGUCGGAUGUGAAAUCCCCCAGGCUUAACCUGGGAACUGCAUCCGAUACUGGAUGGCUUGAAUCCGGGAGAGGGAUGCAGAAUUCCAGGUGUAGCGGUGAAAUGCUUAGAUAUGACAUAGAACACCAAUUGCGAAGGCAGCUGGCUACGCAUAUAUUGACACUGAGGCACGAAAGCGUGGGGAGCAAACAGG
rnacentral:rRNA from 1 species